GAUGAACGCUAGCUACAGGCUUAACACAUGCAAGUCGUACGCACUGGCCCAACUGAUUGAUGGUGCUUGCACCUGAUUGACGAUGGAUCACCAGUGAGUGGCGGACGGGUGAGUAACACGUAGGUAACCUGCCCCGGAGCGGGGGAUAACAUUUGGAAACAGAUGCUAAUACCGCAUAACAACAAAAGCCACAUGGCUUUUGUUUGAAAGAUGGCUUUGGCUAUCACUCUGGGAUGGACCUGCGGUGCAUUAGCUAGUUGGUAAGGUACGGCUUACCAAGGCGAUGAUGCAUAGCCGAGUUGAGAGACUGAUCGGCCACAAUGGAACUGAGACACGGUCCAU
rnacentral:rRNA from 1 species